rnacentral:rRNA from 1 species
CCUUGUACACACCGCCCGUCACACCAUGGGAGUUGUUUGUACCCGAAGAUGUCUUAGCUAACCUGAAAAGGAGGCGGGCGUUUAAGGUAUGGAUGAUGACUGGGGUU